GAUGAACGCUGGCGGCGUGCCUAAUACAUGCAAGUCGAACGGAGUGGCGAACGGGUGAGGAGCACAUGGGGAACCUGCCCGUCAGAGGGGGACAACAGCUGGAAACGGCUGCUAAGACCGCAUACUGACGGAUGGACCUGUGGCGCAUUAGCCAGUUGGCGGGGUAAAGGCCCACCAAGGCGACGAUGCGUAGCCGGCCUGAGAGGGCGGACGGCCACACUGGGACUGAGACACGGCCCAGACUCCUGCGGGAGGCAGCAGUAGGGAAUUUUCGGCAAUGGGGGGAACCCUGACCGAGCAACGCCGCGUGAGUGAGGAAGGCCUUCGGGCUGUAAAGCUCUGUUGCAGAGGAAGCGGUACUCUGCGAGAAAGCCACGGCUAACUACGUGCCAGCAGCCGCGGUAAUUC
rnacentral:rRNA from 1 species